rnacentral:rRNA from 1 species
UACGUAGGCAGCGAGCGUUGUUCGGAGUUACUGGGCGUAAAGAGUGCGUAGGCGGUGUUCCAAGUCUGGUGUGAAAGCUCCCGGCUCAACUGGGAGGGUGCGCCGGAAACUGGGAUGCUGGAGUAUGGGAGAGGUAAGCGGAAUUCCUGGUGUAGCGGUGAAAUGCGUAGAUAUCAGGAGGAACACCUGCGGUGUAGACGGCUUACUGGACCAUGACUGACGCUGAGGCACGAAAGCGUGGGGAGCAAACA